ACGGGAGGCAGCAGUGGGGGAUAUUGCACAAUGGGGGAAACCCUGAUGCAGCGACGCCGCGUGAGUGAAGAAGUAUUUCGGUAUGUAAAGCUCUAUCAGCAGGGAAGAAAAUGACGGUACCUGACUAAGAAGCUCCGGCUAAAUACGUGCCAGCAGCCGCGGUAAUACGUAUGGAGCAAGCGUUAUCCGGAUUUACUGGGUGUAAAGGGUGCGUAGGUGGUAUGGCAAGUCAGAAGUGAAAACCCGGGGCUCAACCCCGUGGAUUGCUUUUGAAACUGUCAAACUAGAGUACCGGAGAGGUAAGCGGAAUUCCUAGUGUAGCGGUGAAAUGCGUAGAUAUUAGGAGGAACACCAGUGGCGAAGGCGGCUUACUGGACGGUAACUGACACUGAGGCACGAAAGCGUGGGGAGCAAACAGGAUUAGAUACCCUGGUA
rnacentral:rRNA from 1 species